UAAUUAAACAACUAUCAAAGGACAAUCCAAAGUUCGACGAGGAUUGGUCGCUUGUGAGUAGUUGGAAGCAUGGUAUUGGAUGGACCAUAUCGACAUUAUUAUGAAUAGAAAAGAUUCUAUUAAGAAUGAGUUGUCAUAUGGAAAUUAUGGAAAUGUUUCCAUAUUGGAUGGACCAUAUCGACAUCAUUAUGAAUAGAUAAGAUUCUAUUAAGAAUGAGUUGUCAUAUGGAAAAUAUGGAAGCGUGUCCAUAUUGGGAAUUGAAUAUUGAAAAUCUAUGUCUAGAUUAGAAACUUUUAUGCAAAAGGAUGUUCAAAGGAAUGUACUUUGAGUGAGAGACAUCAUAUCUAAGGAAUUGUCUUGUAACAAUCUCCGAUAGAGAACUUUGUAAUAUCAUUGGCAAUAGUCUUUGUGACGUUGGUGCAGUGACAUUACAAAAGGAUCAUUGCAUAAAGUGUUAGAAUCUAGCACAUUCUAUAAGUGGCAAGAAUUUGAUAUUCUUUCACUUAUGAAAAAGGAUUUGGAGUUGUGAAAUGAGAAUGAUUGGGAAUGUGCUCAAUUUGAUCUAUUUCAAAAAGUAAGAACCAUAGGUAAACAUUGUGUGCAUGCUAAGAGCAUGGGACAAGUGUAAUAAUUCAAGUAAGAAGUUGAUUACCCGAAAUGACAAAUAAUGAGUAAUCGAUAUGGUGAUAAAUAAAAGGAGUUUUAUUUAUACUCAAAGGUUUGAGGCCAUAUGGGAUUAGUAUUAUUCUUGUGUUUCACUUUGCAUGUUUUGACUUCUAGAAUAAUUGAGUUUAUUAAGAAUAAUCGAAUUAUUCGAACGGGCCACAGUCGUUCAUAUGUUGGAAGUAGAUAUGAAUGAAGACUGUCGUGAAUUGGUGUGUGGAUUGUCUAAAGAGCAUUAGACAUAAGCAAAUGUUUGCUGCAACGUUCAUGAGUGCUUAUGAAUAUGAUUUGAGCAUUGGAUUAAACCCACGCUCACUUGGAUCACUCCAUGAAUUGUAUCACGAGUGAUUGGUGAGACGAUAACAUCUUAUAUUCUUGAAACCGAGAUGUUUGAGUUUUAUCUUGCGAAUCGGUUGCACAUUGAUAAUAUGUAAAUGUGCUAGUAACUUGGUGUUAUAAACAUAUUAUUGUGUGUAAUUCGGUGAGCGAGUGCAAGCAAGCAUUGUAUCAAAGUU
rnacentral:lncRNA from 1 species